AAUUUACGCGUUCGACCCGCGUAACGUCAUUUCCGACUUUUCUAUGACAGAUACAUGUGCAUCAUAGAUGAUAUAGUCGUCCGUUUUUGAUCAAACUAACAUUGGUACAUACUGAAUAAGAAUGUGAACUACACUUCAGUUCCACAAUUCAUCGCUACUGGAAAACAUAACAAAAUCAUCGGAUACGCCAGCAGAGCCAACUGCUUCGGCUGCAAAGUCGACGAUCUCCCGACUCUCUCGCGCGCGAUCACUCUCUAAAUAAUUUAGGCUGAUGAAAAUUCAAUGACAAUGUCAUUUUUAAUAAAUAGGUGAUGAUUUUUGAAGGAAAUUCAUCAAAUUCUUGCCGACUGCUAAGCCGACGCUCUCAUUCGGCGAGCGCAUAAGCAUCAUAAGAAACUAUGAAUUUGUGACAUGCAGAGACAAAUUAUGCACAUAUGUAUGUACAUACAUAGGUACAUAGGUACAUAGUGAACGAGCAAAAGGAAAAUAAUACUAAGAGAAAGAAAUAGACUAACGCAUUCCUUUUCUAAAAGGCACAUUUUUUCGCCCUUUUUCGCGAAAUCACUUGCGAUUUGAUUUUUGUGAGAAGCAAACGCGAUUUUUAUUGAGUGCCAGUUUCGAAGAAAAUAGUAAGAAAAUUAUUUUAAAUUAAAUUUUUAAUUAUCUUCAAAUUUAAUUCAUCAAUUUUGUGAGAAGCAAACGCGAUUUUAAUUGAGUGCCAGUUUCAAAGAAAAUAGUUAAUUGAACAUGGGACUAUUUUUCAACGCUUAUGGGACUAUGGACCAAAACCCGUAGGAGAAGACGCUGAAAACUCCGAAAUUAUAUAUGUACUAAAAGUUAUGAAAAAGCGAUGGAUAUUUCAGACUCUUCAAAAAUGAGCGGGGACCUAGUGUUUAAAAUUUGGUGAAAGAGCUAUGAAUAAUAUGAUGAUUUGUUCGUUAAAAUGUGCACAAGCAGCAGUAAAAAAAGAUGAUUUUGCGCUC